rnacentral:lncRNA from 1 species
GUCUUUGCCCAGUGGGCAAGAAUUCAAUCAACAAAGUAUAUUUAAUGCUGAAAAUACUUGAUAUCAAAGUAACAGAUUAAAAAGUGAAAAUUCAAUCAACCUAUUGCUUUUGUAUACAAGAUAUCAAAGUAGUUCAUUGACUUACAGAUUUCCUCUGAUUGUGUCAGCUGAAUCAUAUUAUUGAUUAGUGUUAUUUAGCCAUAGCCCUGAUUAAGUCUCAUGAUU